GUUAGGAAUCUUGGGCAAUGGGCGCAAGCCUGACCCAGCCAUGCCGCGUGUGUGAAGAAGGCCUUCGGGUUGUAAAGCACUUUCAGCGGUGAAGAAAAGCUCAGGGCCAAUAUCCUUGAGUCUUGACGUUAACCGCAGAAGAAGCACCGGCUAACUCCGUGCCAGCAGCCGCGGUAAUACGGAGGGUGCGAACGUUAAUCGGAAUCACUGGGCGUAAAGCGCGCGUAGGCGGUUUGUUAAGUGGGAUGUGAAAGCCCCGGGCUUAACCUGGGAAUUGCAUUUCAAACUGGCGAACUAGAGUGCGGUAGAGGGAGGUAGAAUUUCCUGUGUAGCGGUGAAAUGCGUAGAUAUAGGAAGGAAUACCAGUGGCGAAGGCGGCCUCCUGGAUCGACACUGACGCUAAGGCGCGAAAGCGUGGGGAGCAAACAGGAUUAGAUACCCUAGUAGUCC
rnacentral:rRNA from 1 species